rnacentral:rRNA from 1 species
AUUGAACGCUGGCGGCAUGCUUUACACAUGCAAGUCGAACGGCAGCAUGGGUGCUUGCACCUGAUGGCGAGUGGCGAACGGGUGAGUAAUGUAUCGGAACAUAUCCGCAAGUGGGGGAUAACGUAGCGAAAGUUACGCUAAUACCGCAUAUUCCCUGAGGGGGAAAGGAGGGGAUCCGCAAGGACCUUUCGCUUACGGAGUGGCCGAUAUCAGAUUAGCUAGUUGGUGGGGUAAAGGCCUACCAAGGCGACGAUCUGUAGCGGGUCUGAGAGGAUGAUCCGCCACACUGGGACUGGGACACGGCCCAGACUCCUACGGGAGGCAGCAGUGGGGAAUUUUGGACAAUGGGGGCAACCCUGAUCCAGCCAUGCCGCGUGAGUGAAGAAGGCCUUCGGGUUGUAAAGCUCUUUCAGCUGGAAAAAAAUCGCAUCACCUAAUACGUGGUGUGGAUGAUGGUACCAGCAGAAGAAGCACCGGCUAACUACGUGCCAGCCGCCGCAGUAACAC